rnacentral:rRNA from 1 species
AGCUUCAGUAGCGUAUAUUAAAGUUGUUGCAGUUAAAAAGCUCGUAGUCGCAUUUCUGGAGAGAGGAACUGGUCCGACCUUACGGUGGGUUCUUGGUUCUCUCUCUCCAUCCUUGAGUGGCCCGUUCUGGUAUUAGGUUAUCGGAGCGUCCGCCGCUCAUCGUUUACUGUGAGAAAAUUAGAGUGUUCAAAGCAGGCUUAUGCCGUUGAAUAUAUUAGCAUGGAAUAAUGAGAUAGGACCUCGGUACUAUUUUGUUGGUUUGCGCACCAAGGUAAUGAUGAACAGGGACAGUUGGGGGUAUUUGUAUUUCGUUGUCAGAGGUGAAAUUCUUAGAUUUACGAAAGACAAACUACUGCGAAAGCAUUUACCAAGGAUGUUUUCAUUG